AUGGUGGCAGAAUUUGCACUCCGGGGAAAAGAAAAGAUGGCGGAACAGGAAGAGAAGCCCGUUUGCCCAUUAGAUUCGUGCUGCGAGGUGAUCCGUGAUCUGUGGGAACACUUCCCAAGAUACGAGCAUGAUCUCGCCCUUCUCUCCAAAAUGCAAUCAAUCUCUGCAAGUAUCGAUAUGCUUCGGAGGCUGGAACCGGAGCUUGACAGAAAACUGAGAUCGAUGGAGGUGAAGGCUGAGGAGGAGGAGAUCAGCAGGGAUGAUCUUGGUUGCAAACUGAGAUCGAUGGAGCUGAAGGUUGAUGAGGAGGAGGUGAGCAAGGAUGAAGAAACAAAAUCUGAAUCAAUAGCAGUCGGGAUGGUGGUCGAGGGAUUGGAUGCCUACCGUAGCUGCUGGGAGUCGUUAUGGCGCCCUGCGAGGAGUUUUGAGGACAUGACGUUAGCGAGUUCCAUGCUCUUUACACACUGCACACCAGGCCGUAUGCCAAGAAAUGCCAUCAUUGGGAGCACCUUGCAGAUCUACUCUGUUAAGGUUGCAGAAAUACACGACAUUGAGAGCCCCCUGAAGGUGUAUGGUGUGGUUGCUGCCCGAGACACCGUGGACAGCAGUCGUAACCCAAUCUUCCUUCGUCCAAGAAAUGGCUGUCAAAUCCUUAAUCUGCAAGAUCGCUUUCUACACUUAACUGGCCCAUGUCGUGCAAUUGUGUCUAUGAACCCUGUUGACAUUGAGAUAGAGCUGAAACUAAAGGGCGCAGCCAAGUCCGAGGACAGGAUAUUGAUCAGCAAAGUUUACAACCACAAUGGUGAAAGUUUAGGUACCUAUCUCGUCGGCGACAUGCAUUGUGGGAUAGAAUUAUGCUUUCAGCAACUUAAGCAGUCCAUUCAGGCCACAAUCUCGCGUGUUCGGAUUGUUGAAAGGGACUCAUCACCUUUUCCGCAUGGUGGCCGAGUUGCAUGCUUCUCGCUGCCUCACGAGCAACCCGAGGAAAUUGUGAUGCUUGACACAAAAGGUGGAAAAAUGCCGAUGGGGAAACACCGUUGUCUUGAGCUGUCCAGAAAGGUUGUCUCUGUAGAAUUAGAAGGGAAGCUCAAAGUUAUGAUUCAAGCAUAUGCACCAUCUGGUGAAAUUACUGGUGGUCAUGUCCUCUUCACACCACAAAAGUGCGGCGCAACUAAAGGUAUCUGUCAUCUUGGUGAAACUGCGGUGGAGGUUACCGUUGCUUGGUCGCUCCUCCCCUCGCCGAAAGAGACCUUACCUUGUCCAUUGCCUGUAGACAAGAUUUGCUAG
rnacentral:rRNA from 1 species